AAGUCGUAACAAGGUUUCCGUAGGUGAACCUGCGGAAGGAUCAUUAACACGUAUCCAACGUUAAAAACACCCCUGUGAACCCGUUAAACUUGCUCCUCAGGCCCUACACGCCUACACGGCCGGCAUCAUGAUCGGUGAAAUCCCGGUCCUGAUGUCAAUUUAGCGAGGACUAAAAGCCUCGCACCAAAAACCGAACAACUGUUAACAAUGGAUAUCUUGGUUCUC
rnacentral:misc_RNA from 1 species